rnacentral:misc_RNA from 1 species
UACUUUGUUUAUUUUGAGGGGAUUACCCUCAGCACCCUAGCGGGUGCGACUUUGUUCUUUGAAAACUGGAUAUCAUUGUUGUAAAUGUUUUAAAUUGCCAAGAACACAGCGUAUUUGUAUGAUUUUCUAAUAAUAGAAAUUCGCAUCGCAUAACCCCUGACGCAAGUCAUUACA